GGGUCUGGACAGCCGCGCGCUGCGGGUCUCCGGGCGGGCGCCGCGGGACCUCGCUGGGCCAUGGCAGCCCCUGUCAAAGGGAACAGGAAGCAGUCCACGGAGGGUGACGCCCUAGACACACCUGCAUCCCCCACACCUGCUGGCGAGCAGAACGGGAUCCAGAACCCCACCUCACUGGAGUUAACCUGUGGAAGAUCUACAAGGCAGUGGAGAAGCUGGGGGCCUAUGAGCUGGUAAGGAAGGCACCUCCCAGUCCUUGCCAAACUGCAUAUCCCUGGGGUGAGCCUGCAGCGCUGUCCUUGCCUCUGGACAGAGGAAGAGCCAGGAUCCCCAGUCCUGCCCCUGCGUCCCUGCCUCCCUGCCUCCCCCGCUGGUACUCUGCUGCUCAAAGCAGCUUUUCAGCCUUCCCCAUCUGUUCUGCCCGCCCCGUAUUGGGAAAACUGCUUGGGCCAGCAGUCCGUGGCCCUAGGAGGGAGAAUCGGCUGGCCGCUGCUGGAGCCGCAGAGCAGCUGCCAAACUGCAGUCUUUCGAGUCCCUGCGAGGGCGGCCGGAGCUGCAAGGACCCCGCCGCCAGGGGGCGCCCGCUGGCCGCGCCCUCACGAGGUGCCCUUGCAGGUGACCGGGCGCCGCCUCUGGAAGAACGUGUACGACGAGCUGGGGGGCAGCCCGGGCAGCACCAGCGCGGCCACGUGCACGCGCCGCCACUACGAGAGGCUGGUCCUGCCAUACGUGCGGCACCUGAAGGGGGAGGAUGACAAGCCGCUGCCCACCUCCAAGCCCAGGAAACAGUACAAGAUGGCUAAGGAGAACAGGGGGGAUGAUGGGGCCACCGAGAGGCCGAAGAAGGCCAAGGAGGAGCGGCGCGUGGACCAGAUGAUGCCAGGAAAGACCAAAGCAGAUGCUGCUGACCCAGCACCACUUCCCAGCCAGGAGCCCCCCA
rnacentral:sRNA from 1 species